AUUGCACAGAGAUGUGGGUGUUGCACAGUUACGGUGGGUGAGUGUGAGAGUUCAGGGUGGUGAUUGCUCUGACGAAGAACCUGUUCUUGAGUCUGUUUGUUCUGGCAACCGUGUAAAACAAGUGAUUGGCAACUUUAGUUAAGAUCACACGCUCAUGGGCUCCAUUUCAGAUACAGAUGUCAAUGCUGGAUUGAUUGGGGAGGCGGAUAUUGUAACAGGACUGGGCUCAGCUUCUAAGGGCAGCAAGCUAGUGGAAAGCCAAAGAUAGAAUCUCCGUGGUGCAACCUCAAUAGGAAAACAUCUCACAGUUGACAGAAGUGACAACCCUGCCCCAAAUUUUGUCACAUAAGUUAUUAAAAAUAGGUGAGUAUGUUUACUAUGUUUGUUUUAUUAAUUUAAAAAAAUCUGUCUUUCAGGAGGUAAAGGUGUUAUUGGAGCUCGCAUACCAAUACGCAGAAGGACGUGGAGAAAUGAGAGGAGGUGCAGGGGCCUAUACACUAGGGUUCUUUUGUAAAACAUUUACACCUGUGUUAGAAUUAUUAACCUUAAUAAAACAUUUACAGUCAUGUCAGAGUUAUUGACCUUAAUAAAAUAAGUUUUUUGUUUUUUUUAAACUGGAUUUUAUUGAACAAUAAAAUGUCUAGUAAUGAUUAUUUUAGAGAUUUAAAUGCAGCUUUAGCCUUGUUAGAGGGUGAAAAUAGAGAGAACGCUAGUCAAUCCAAUCCUGAAAUCAUCUCUUUGACUCCUGUUAUUGAUGCUGUGAACUCUUUCAACUGGCUACAACUAUUGGACCCCCAACUCUCCCCGUGUUGAUAAUACAUGAGAUAACCCUAUUGAACCCCCUCAAAAUCAGACACCCAGUCAUGAUACAUUUGAUGUUUUUGAUGCUAUCGAUAAUGUUCUAGCUCAAUUACAGUCUAACCAACAACCUAUACUGUCUGAAUUAAUAGCCUGUUAAAGCAGAGACCCCGUGAAAAUCCCUGUCCUUACUGUAAGGACGGCAAUUGCAGUGAGAUCAGCAAAUGCACUGGGCUUGACAUGCAUGGAGUUCUGCUCCUGAUUUAUACUGUGUGUAGUUAAGUUAUAGUUUUAUUAAAAAGGCCCAUCAAGGCCAAACUGUUAUAAUCUCUUGUGGUUUUCUGUCCUACUCUCUUACCUCUGCUGAUUUUACUAGUACAGUCUACUAUAUUGCAAUGAAAUGCAGUAUAUUCUUUCAUUUGGGACAGAUCACAUAUUUUUAAAUGACUAUGCAUAGUAUAUUUACAUAUUUGGUAUUGCUGGAUUUAGAAAAUAAGCACAUUAAUUCAACAAGCCUACUGUGUUAUAUGACAAUACAUGCGACAUAAUAAAACUUGGGACUGAAGACUCAAUUUUGUCAAUACUUUUCAGUUGGGGCACUUCAUACAUUAAGUGACUUAACACCCUGAUUAUGCAGGCCAUAUUUACAUA